UUUUACAACUAUUGGUCUGCAGCUGUUCUUAGUAGUAAUUGUGGCAUUCCACUGUGGGAAAGAAACUGUUACACAAUUAAACACUUCUUUCUUAGCAAAACAGAAAGUAAGCAUAUGUGUGAAGGAUAGGA